rnacentral:rRNA from 1 species
GACGAACGCUGGCGGCGUGCUUAACACAUGCAAGUCGAACGGUAAGGCCCUUUCGGGGUACACGAGUGGCGAACGGGUGAGUAACACGUGGGUGAUCUGCCCUGCACUUUGGGAUAAGCCUGGGAAACUGGGUCUAAUACCGAAUACACCUCGCUGGCUGCAUGGUUGGUGGGGAAAGCUUUUGCGGUGUGGGAUGGGCCCGCGGCCUAUCAGCUUGUUGGUGGGGUGAUGGCCUACCAAGGCGA